AAUGAGCACAAAAGGACAGCGGUGUGUGUCUGAGGGAAUGAGGACAGCAGGCUAACGUGGGCUGGCGAAGGGCCUUGGGCGAGCAAAGGCUCCAUCGCCUGAGGUGACCCCACAACAGGACUCCCACACAGCGGGUACUCAAUGGACACAGCAGCGGUUUGGCAGAACCGGGCCAUGGUGUCACAAACAGGCAGGGAUACCACACGACUGCUGUCACAAACAACUGAGAUUCCACGCAGAGCAGCCUGAACGUCAAAGCUAUUGAUCACAAGGGCGUCAUUAAAGGAGCAGAAUAUUCCGGCAGUGCCAAGCACAAGAACAGAGACAUCACAGCAAUCAGGAGCAGGCUUUUGGACCAUGCGGCGAAAGCAUAUUAUUUGGAGGGAAACCCAUGAUGACAUGUGGAGAACAUGCAAACACAUAUGGAG